CAGGGCCAGGCACAGAGUAAG
rnacentral:miRNA from 1 species